rnacentral:tRNA from 1 species
GGGGAUGUGACUCAGUGGUAGAGCUCUUGCCUUGCAUGUACAAGGCCUUAGGUUCAAUCCCCAGCACCCCCU